AGAAUGAACGCUGGCGGCAUGCCUAACACAUGCAAGUCGAACGAAACCUUCGGGUUUAGUGGCGCACGGGUGCGUAACGCGUGGGAAUCUACCCCUUGGUUCGGAAUAACAGUUGGAAACGACUGCUAAUACCGGAUGAUGACGUAAGUCCAAAGAUUUAUCGCCGAGGGAUGAGCCCGCGUAGGAUUAGCUAGUUGGUGUGGUAAAGGCGCACCAAGGCGACGAUCCUUAGCUGGUCUGAGAGGAUGAUCAGCCACACUGGGACUGAGACACGGCCCAGACUCCUACGGGAGGCAGCAGUGGGGAAUAUUGGACAAUGGGCGAAAGCCUGAUCCAGCAAUGCCGCGUGAGUGAUGAAGGCCUUAGGGUUGUAAAGCUCUUUUACCCGGGAUGAUAAUGACAGUACCGGAGAAUAAGCUCCGGCUAACUCCGCGCCAGCAGCCGC
rnacentral:rRNA from 1 species